rnacentral:misc_RNA from 1 species
GAGUAUAACCUGCCACUUGGCUAUUCUUCCUGGCACGAAGGGGCUCUCAAAUACAUAUCUGAUAGGGUCCAUCCUGGAGAUGAGCCAUGUUUUGUGAUUUAACAUGUAGUGCUUAAGGCGAUUUGCUGUCCAGGCCAACGCGCAGCAAGUCUUUUCUAAGGAAGAAUACCUUGACUCACACUCGUUGAAUUUCUUGCUUAGGUAAUAAAUGGCCCUCUCUCUUCGGCCGGUAUCAUCAUGUUGUCCCAAAACACAUCCCAUUGAAUUCUGCUGGACUGCCAUGUACAGUAUCAAAGGCCUGCCUGCCAUAGGUGGAACCAAUACCGGUGGAUUUGACAGAUACUGCUUGAUUUUCUCAAAAGCCUCUUGACAAACUGAAUCCCAUUGAGUAGAGUUGUUUUUCCGGAGUAAUCUGAAAAAUAGGCUCAGCUUUGGCAGUA